UUAAAUGAAUAAGGGCGUAUGGUGGAUGCCUAGGCAUGUAGAGCAGAAGAAGGACGCAGCUAACGGCGAAACGCGACGGGGAGUGGUAAGCACACAUCGAUCCGUCGGUCUCCGAAUGGGGAAACCCAGCGCAAGUAAUGUCGCGUUACCCAUGAGUGAAUACAUAGCUCAUGAGGAGAGAACCCAGGGAAUUGAAACAUCUUAGUACCUGGAGGAAAAGAAAAUAACAAUGAUUCCCUUAGUAGCGGCGAGCGAACGGGGAAGAGCCCAAACCAGCCUUAGGGCUGGGGUAGUAGGACCACGACGUGGUACAGUAACCGAUAGAAGAAGGACAUUGAAAGGUCCGCCAAAGAGGGUGCAAGCCCCGUAAUCGAAAUUGGGAGCUGACCUAGUGGAAUCCUGAGUACGGCGAGGCACGUGGAACCUUGUCGGAAGCAUCCGGGACCAUCCGGAAAGGCUAAAUACUCCUACAUGACCGAUAGUGAACCAGUACCGUGAGGGAAAGGUGAAAAGAACCGCGGGAGCGGAGUGAAAUAGAACCUGAAACCAUAUGCUUACAAGAAGUCAGAGCCCGUUAAGGGGUGAUGGCGUGCCUUUUGUAGAAUGAACCGGCGAGUUAUCUUAUCGUGCGAGGUUAAGUGGAAGACACGGAGCCGAAGCGAAAGCGAGUCUGAAUAGGGCGGGAGUACGAUGAGAUAGACCCGAAGCCGUAGUGAUCUAGCCAUGACCAGGUUGAAGUUUGGGUGAAACCAAAUGGAGGACCGAACCGACCCCCGUUGAAAAGUUGGCGGAUGAGUUGUGGCUAGCGGAGAAAUUCCAAUCGAACACGGCGAUAGCUGGUUCUCCCCGAAAUAGCUUUAGGGCUAGCGUCGAAGUAAGGGUAGUGGAGGUAGAGCACUGAAUUCAUGAUGGCGCCGUCAAGGUGUACUGAAUGAAAUCAAACUCCGAAUGCCAUUAUUGAAUCUUCGGCAGUCAGACUGUGGGUGAUAAGGUCCAUGGUCAAAAGGGAAACAGCCCAGAUCAUCAGUUAAGGUCCCAAAAUUACCGCUAAGUGGAAAAGGAUGUGGGGAUGCACAGACAACUAGGAGGUUGGCUUAGAAGCAGCCACCCUUCAAAGAGUGCGUAACAGCUCACUAGUCGAGUGACCCUGCGCCGAAAAUUAACCGGGGCUAAGCGGUAUACCGAAACUAUGGCAAUGAUGUAAAUCAUUGGGUAGGGGAGCGUUCCAUGGGCGUUGAAGCUGUACCGUAAGGAGCAGUGGAGCGCAUGGAAGUGAGAAUGCCGGUGUGAGUAGCGAGAUGCAGGUGAGAAUCCUGCACACCGAUAGACCAAGGAUUCCAGGGGAAGGUUCGUCCGCCCUGGGUAAGUCGGGACCUAAGGCGAGGCUGAAAAGCGUAGUCGAUGGAAAACAGGUUGAUAUUCCUGUACCCGCGCAUCGAGUGAUGGAGUGACAAAGAAGGCUAACCGGACCGGUAAAUGGAUUCCGGACCAAGCGAGGUAGGAGGCAGUCAGGCAAAUCCGGCUGUCAAUCUGAAGGCGUGAUGGGGAGUGAACAGCGCGAGCUAAGUAGCGAAGACGGCGAUGCCAGCUUUCAAGAAAAGCUUCUAGCGCUAAUCGAUGAGCGGCCCGUACCAAAACCGACACAGGUGGUCAAGGCGAGAAGCCUAAGGUGAGCGAGAGAACUGUUGCCAAGGAACUCGGCAAAAUAGCCCCGUACGUUCGCAAGAAGGGGCGCUCGAAAGAGCCGCAGUGAAGAGGCCCAAGCAACUGUUUAACUAAAACACAGCUCUCUGCAAAGUCGCAAGACGAAGUAUAGGGGGUGACGCCUGCCCGGUGCUGGAAGGUUAAGAGGAUAUGUUAGUCGCAAGACGAAGCAUUGAAUUGAAGCCCCAGUGAACGGCGGCCGUAACUAUAACGGUCCUAAGGUAGCGAAAUUCCUUGUCAGGUA
rnacentral:rRNA from 1 species